AAAUUGAUCAAAACCAAUAUUUUCCUGCAAAGGUUUCAUUUUCAACCAAGCAGGCCUCUUCUGAUUAAAGAAGUUGCAUAAAAAUUCUUAAUCAUCUCUGCACAGGAACACUGCUGUAGCUGUUGGGGAUUAAGGAAUAGAGGCAUUAUCACCACCCACUUCAUACACUGCAUUAAGUGGCUCUUGGAGCAGAAGCAGAAACUUUUGUCUGCAAAAGGAGCAAGCACAAGUUGCUAAUUUGCAUCAAGAGGUAAGUCACAUGCUCUGAGUAACACUGGUCCAAUGUAUAUUUGAGGUACUGCACAACAGAACAUUUAGGGGCUACUCAACUGAACUAAACCUUAAUUGUAUGCAAACAAGCCAGAACAGCAUUUGGGAUCGGUAUCUCCAAGUCACUGACUGCUACUAUGACCCUAUCUCUGAAGAAACUAUCACGACUAAUUCAAUUUAAUGAUACACACGAUUUCAGUUCAAAGAUCGUGGAAUUCCCUUGAAACUCUGCAGCAUCUUCAAAAGACAUAGAAUAUAAACAGGAAAUGGGAUACUAUGGACCACAAUAAAAACAACUACUGGCUUUGGCAACAAUGAAAAGAAAAAUAGAAAUUUCGCUUUUCUGUUACUUCUUUCACAUAUUGCAACAUUCAUCUGGAACAAACUUUUGUGAAUGAAGUCAAAUAAAAAUAGGAAAAGCUAAAAGAUGAAGUGAUUUUAAAAUAACCACCUACAGAAUUACACAAACAUAAAUGUUACAGUCCAAACUCAUACACCCAUUCUUCAAAGGCUCGCCUUCAGCACACCCGUUAAAAGGAAAUGUUCAUGCUCAGAUCAUGGAAAAGUAGUAUAUCAGAGCUGAUGAAAGUGUCGUUUCCUGCACACCCACUUACACCAUAUGGUAAACAGGUAUUUGUAAAGUUUAAAAAGUGUUAAAAAUGUCAAACUAUAUCUGAUUGAUAAAAUUUGUAUUUGCUGGCUAUUCCACAUAUGUUACAUGUUCAAGAAAAAAGCCACAAAGACGAAAUUCAUGUGAAGACCAAGCAAUUAUCAUCAAGCUAUUAAAUGACAUCUGGCUACCGCAAAAUGUUUACAUAGUUUCAAUGCUUCAACUCAAGACCCAAGCUUUCUGUGAAUUAUUUGCCUUACAAAAACAUUUGACAAGUAUAUUUUUAAGAUCAUCAUAACCAGGGUGACUGGUGACUACUCUUUCAACAGAAUGAUGGAGUUGAACUAAUGAAGGGUCACAAUGUUUCCUGAACACUUGUUUCAGAACAUGGAAAUGAAAGAGGAUCUGGCAGCAAAUACAGGUAGCAAUUUUUUCCCCUUCCCCACCAAAAUCACACACACAGGCACAGAUUACUUCAUAUGUGCUACAAGGGCCAACAAGGCUCUGACUGAGGUGCCAUCAAUAGACUCUUGCUACAGGUCCCUACCUGAAAGGAAGUCCAAUGCAUUUUUUGGUCUGUUUGGACAGUUACAAAUCAGACUAUGGCUAUGAGCAAUCUGUUCCUCUCACCCUGUGCAAGCAUUUCAGCUGAAGAUCUGGUAACAUGUACUAUGUACACUUAACUAAGACUAAAAGUGCUUACAAGCCUCCACCAUCAUUUCAGGUGAUUCACCACAGCUACUGAAGGGUCUGGGAGAUCAAUCAGCCGUUCCAGCCAUGUGCCACUAGCACGACUCUAAAGCACUUUUGCUCCAUUGCUGUGACAAAGUCACGUCACGUUGCUGACAAGGACCGAGCCAGGAGAAAUACAAG